rnacentral:rRNA from 1 species
CCUACGGGAGGCAGCAGUGGGGAAUAUUGGACAAUGGGCGCAAGCCUGAUCCAGCCAUGCCGCGUGUGUGAAGAAGGCCUUCGGGUUGUAAAGCACUUUCAGCGAGGAGGAAGAGUUGUGUGUUAAUAGUACACAGCUUUGACGUUACUCGCAGAAGAAGCACCGGCUAACUCUGUGCCAGCAGCCGCGGUAAUACAGAGGGUGCAAGCGUUAAUCGGAAUUACUGGGCGUAAAGGGUGCGCAGGUGGUUUUGUAAGUCAGAUGUGAAAUCCCCGGGCUCAACCUGGGAAUUGCAUUUGAGACUGCACGGCUAGAGUGUGUCAGAGGGGGGUAGAAUUCCACGUGUAGCAGUGAAAUGCGUAGAUAUGUGGAGGAAUACCGAUGGCGAAGGCAGCCCCCUGGGAUAACACUGACGCUCAUGCACGAAAGCGUGGGGAGCAAACAGGAUUAGAUACCCUGGUAGUCCACGCCCUAAACGAUGUCUACUAGUUGUCGGGUCUUAAUUGACUUGGUAACGCAGCUAACGCGUGAAGUAGACCGCCUGGGGAGUACGGUCGCAAGAUUAAAACUCAAAGGAAUUGACGG